rnacentral:tRNA from 1 species
GGUAUAGUGACUCUGAGUGUUGGACUAGUACUCCAGGGAUCAGGGUUCAAAUCCCUAAUAGGCCA